AAAGAAUGAUGAUGCUUUUGGUCCGUGUUGUUGAGCAUCCUGAAAAAAAAGCAAACCACUUCUGACUUU